AUGGUUCGAGUUCCAAAUAAUCCAAAAAAUAAGUUUUCUGGAGUUGGAAUGUGAGCAAGUAUAUAUAAUCCUCAGGUUGAAGGUCAACAACACAGUGCAUGUCGACUGAAAAUCUCAAAAGGAUAAGACAUUUUACAAGUUGGUUGGAGAGUAGAUCCAACACUAUAUAAUGAUAAUAACACUAGACUUUAUAUACAUUUCCAGGCUGGUAAUAAGCAUUGCUUCAAUAUACUUUGCCCUGAAUUUAUCUUGGUAAAUACUGGGUUACCUGUGAUAUGGUAUUUGAUGAGGUUAAUCAACGUGGAUAUAAAAGCAUAGUGGAGAUCCAAAUGUACAUUGAUCGGGAUGUAGUCGGAAACUGGUGGCUUUUGAUCGGCGAAAACUAUGAACAAGUUGGUUUUUGGUCUCAUAGGAUUUUCACCGACUUCGCAAGCUUCGCUAAUCACGUUGACUUGGGAGGAGUCGCGUAUAGUCCACCAGGUGUGCUUAAACCUCC